rnacentral:misc_RNA from 1 species
AAGUCAAUCCCAAUCAAUACCCAGCACAUAAUUCAAUCCCUUGUAAUAAACAAGCACAACAAUGAAAAUGAUUCAACCAUUAACAAAAAUGAUUCAACAAAAUUAAUACCCAAUUCUAUUCAAAAAUCAAAAACGCAAAUCCCCAAUUUAAUCAAUGCAAUCAAACAUAAAACAUGAAAUUGAACAAAACCCAAGUAUUCAACGAUCAAAUUCAAACACAUAACAAGAAAUCCAACAAAAUAGAGCAGUCCUCCUCAUCUUCAAGAUCAGAUCAGAGGAGAAGGAGAGAAGCAGAACGUUGUUGAUGACUUAGAGGAGAAGCCACUGUCU